rnacentral:misc_RNA from 1 species
UCCAAUACCAAGUAAGAGUGAUUUUUCCCCAUUGCUUUCAGGCCAUCACUCCUGUAUAUUUAUAAUGAAGAAUCCAGGAAUUACAAUGACUCUAUAGACUAGUAAGACAAUUCAGUACAAUAGGGACAGCUAUACAGGUUGUGUAGUGGAACCACAAUUUAUAUUCUACCCACACAGAUGCCUCAGUUUACUACUGAACUAAUCUACCUAAAAUUUCAUCAAGGCAGUCUAUUUCUGCAUUGGGUGUAAAAAUUAAUGCAACUCUAAAUAAUGUUGAACAUAUUGUACACCAUGCUGAUGCCAACGGGCAAGCCUAGUAUACAGACCAAUGCUUCCACAUGUCAUCCUUGUCCCGUCCCUACGAAAGCUCUGCAUUACAUCUCAAUAUCGUCGAGGUCUGGUAAAGGAAAUCGAAGGAUCACAGCAAUGCCAGUCAAUUGCGCCAAUUCUGUUUCGCUCUCCUGAGAUGUGCAUCGAUGAGAAUAUAUGACCAGCGCCCGCUGAAUCCUUCACUGAGCUGACUAAAUUGACAUACUUUUGCCUCGUUGGUAUAUCAGCAUUUCUGAAGAGAUCAUCCGUCAUAAGAAGAGUUUGGACAGCCAUGCGUUCAUGGGCAACCUCUACAUGCUUUGGUCCAUAACAUCCUCGAUCCUAACAGAAAAACCCACAUUCAAGCACAUUCUAAGAAUUUAGCUGGGACUGAAACUGAAUUUAAAUACACUAAAACUGCAUUCUAAGCAAUUAACAUUACUGGUAUGUUAAGAUUUACUGGAUCCCAGUGGUUUUAGUUCUCAGUGUCAAAUUGGGAUCGUAACUUUAUUUUCAAGUAUAUCCAUUUUUGAGUAUGUCCAUUCUAAUCAUUAAGUUUUUGUGCGCAUAAAAAGAAAAAUUCACAAGAAAACAUAAAAUCAUGCAUCUCAAGAACAGAACCUUACAUUUGAAAGCAUUUUAAAGAAAUCCUUAAGUGCUCAAACCUGUGAAGGAAGAACAACCUGUUAUCACAUUCGAACAUAUGUGGGAAACUGUAUGCUUCGACACAGGUAGGCAUUGGGCUAGCAGUAUGACAAGUAUUGUCCAGCAAAACAAAAAUGAGACAAGAUGAAAGUGCCGGACAAAUUGGUUGUCUAAGUUACCUCUUGUGCUGCCUUAGUGUCUUUUAUCAGGUUCAUAAAAUUUGGGGCAUCAGGAACCUCUCUCAAGCUAUGCUUGUAUCCUGAGCUUUGUAUGCACAAGAACUAUGCGUGACUUGUUCUAAAUAAUGGGUCUUAGCUGUCUCCUCUCUGCCUCCAACAAUAAGAGACAAUGAAACUGAUCCUGAAGUACACAGGAAGAAAACACUCGAAUAAAAUAUAUAUAGCUAUACAAAAUAUCACUUGACAAGAGAUUGAAACCAUAUUAGCAAAUAGGGAUUUCAAAUGAAAAUAGGAUCAAUCAAAACAUUUCAUUUUAGAAAUGGGAAAAAAAAGGAUACGUUUAUCACAGAACUUUGCGAAACCAGGGCUUGCAAUCACAGCAAACCGAAUAACACUGAAAUCAAUAUGUUUUAGGAAACCCUGUACUACACGCUCAAAGAACUUUUUCAAUGCCGACUGGUAACCAGCAAUGGCAGGCCCAUGCUUUCGAGGAAUUGAAGUCUCUAUCUUUGAUUGAGUAGUUGUCAUGCUUUUACCGACAAGAAAGAUGUGUGCUAGUCCUUCUUGCAUUAAAACCACAGCAAGAUCAGCACUUGCACCAGGAUCAGAGGUUUGAUCAAGUGCAUCUACAGCCAAUGAGUCCCAAAUUUCCUUUCUCAAAACAGAAGGUCGAUGAAGCUCUAAUUCUAAAGUAUGAAAUGCUCCAAUCUCAGCUUCACUCUUUCUGCAUCUCUCCCACCGGAUGCUAACUCUCUUAAAACUUUCCUGACAGUAACAGCCAUAACCAUAUCUCCAGGAGAUAUCAAAUUAUAAAUAAGCCAAAGAUCGUCUGAAUCAGCUGGUAUAAUCUUAAUGCUACCGGGGCCAUCUAACACAAUAUUUCUUCUUGUGAUCUUCAUGAAAUUGAAUAGCAGGUUCUCUAAAACAACUUUGAAAGAACAAUUCUUAAUAUAAGUAGUAUAGAGUAGGGAUCAUUGCAUCCCAUUCCAAAAAGAAAUCGGUUAAACAAUAAUAAUUACACUAUUAAUUUGAAUGAUUCAUUAACUCUAUGGAAAACUCUAAAGUAGCAUCCACUCUUUUGAAGGUGUAGGUACUAGGAGUAUGCACGUGCAGCACAUCUCUCCCAAACUACGAACAUAAAACAAAUUGUAAUUUCUGUUUCCAAGUUGUAGGCCAUGAUCUGUCAGUUAUUCCCAUUGUUAUUUCUGAAUUUUUGUUUCCUAGCUGUGGGAGGUUAUUCCUCCAUAUGCUUUCAUGUUCCCAGUUUUUAGGAGGUGGUUAUGCCUUCAAGACUUGUGUAGAUGCAGAAAAUGAAGGAGAAGGUAUCAGAAUUUUAUGUGCAGUUUUGAGUAUUUGAUAUUCAAGAAGUCUUGCAGCCAGAGGUAGAAGGAAGAAAAACCACCCCCAAUACCCUCAUCACACCACAAACCCAACCUAGGCCCCCUAGUCUACACAGACCAAUUACGAGAUCCUUAUCAAGGAGAUGGGAUCUUGUAUAUUUUAAGAGGGUGCAAACUGCUCUUUCAGCUGUUAGAUUUACGCAGAGUAGGGAUUUGUUCAUCUCCAUUAAGAACAAUACUAACUAUAUUAAUAAGAGUUUUGCAUUAACUUUAUGGAAAAUUUUAAGGUGCACCCACUCACUUGGUGGUAUCGGUACUAGGGGUAAGCUUAUCUCUCCCAAACUACAAACGUAAAAAAAAUUGUAAUUUCAAUAACAGUAGAAAGCCAAACAAAGAACA